rnacentral:rRNA from 1 species
UGGGGAAUAUUGCACAAUGGGCGAAAGCCUGAUGCAGCAACGCCGCGUGAGUGAUGAAGGCCUUCGGGUUGUAAAGCUCUGUCUUUUGGGACGAUAAUGACGGUACCAAAGGAGGAAGCCACGGCUAACUACGUGCCAGCAGCCGCGGUAAUACGUAGGUGGCAAGCGUUGUCCGGAUUUACUGGGCGUAAAGGAUGCGUAGGCGGAUUUUUAAGUGAGAUGUGAAAACCCUAAGCUUAACUUGGGGACUGCAUUUCAUACUGGAAAUCUAGAGUGCGGGAGAGGAGAAUGGAAUUCCUAGUGUAGCGGUGAAAUGCGUAGAGAUUAGGAAGAACACCAGUGGCGAAGGCGAUUCUCUGGACCGUAACUGACGCUGAGGCAUGAAAGCGUGGGGUAGCAAACAGGAUUAGAUACCCUGGUAGUCCACGCCGUAAACGAUGAGUACUAGGUGUAGGAGGUAUCGACCCCUUCUGUGCCGCAGUUAACACAAUAAGUACUCCGCCUGGGAAGUACGAUCGCAAGAUU